UACGUAGGGUGCGAGCGUUAAUCGGAAUUACUGGGCGUAAAGGGUGCGCAGGCGGUUCUGUAAGUCAGAUGUGAAAUCCCCGGGCUUAACCUGGGAACUGCGUUUGAAACUACAGAGCUAGAGUGUGGCAGAGGGGGGUGGAAUUCCAUGUGUAGCAGUGAAAUGCGUAGAGAUAUGGAAGAACAUCGAUGGCGAAGGCAGCCCCCUGGGUCAACACUGACGCUCAUGCACGAAAGCGUGGGGAGCAAACAGG
rnacentral:rRNA from 1 species